AUGCCCCGUCUUGUCCUGCCUGAGUCCUCCAGGGUCACCUGGCUCCUCUGCUGUGUGGCCCUCUGUCUGCUGGGGGCAGGUCCAGUGGAUGCUGGGGUCAUCCAGUCCCCAAGACAUCUAAUCAGAGGGAGAGGGGGAAAGGCUGUUCUGAAGUGUUAUCCCAGCUCUGGACACAACAGAAUUAGCUGGUUCCAGCAGGUUCUGGGGCAAGGUCCACAGUUCCUCGUUGAGUAUUUUGAAAAGGUGCAGGGAGAUAAAGGAAACAUUCCUGAUCGCUUCUCAGCUCAGCAGUUCAGUGACUACAGCUCUGAGCUGGACAUGAGCUCCUUGGAGCUGGAAGACUCAGCCUUGUAUGUCUGUGCCAGCAGCUCAGGCACAGCCCUCCAGAGUUACUGGCUCUCUCUACUGAAACCUUCUUGUCCCAGCCAAGGAUGUGAUGGUGGAGGGGAGGGGAGCUUAUCCAAGUGCCAAGGUUGCUUCUAG